rnacentral:rRNA from 1 species
CCAACAGGGAUUGCCUCAGUAACGGCGAGUGAAGCGGCAACAGCUCAAAUUUGAAAUCUGGCCCCCUUGCGGGGUCCGAGUUGUAAUUUGCAGAGGAUGCUUUCGGCAAGGCGCCUUCCGAGUGCCCUGGAACGGGCCGCCGUAGAGGGUGAGAGCCCCGUACGGUUGGAUGCCGAGCCGGUGUAAAGCUCCUUCGACGAGUCGAGUAGUUUGGGAAUGCUGCUCUAAACGGGAGGUAAACCCCUUCUAAAGCUAAAUACCGGCCAGAGACCGAUAGCGCACAAGUAGAGUGAUCGAAAGAUGAAAAGCACUUUGAAAAGAGAGUCAAACAGCACGUGAAAUUGUUGAAAGGGAAGCGCUUGUGGCCAGACUUGCGCCCUGCGGCUCAGCCGUCCCUCGUGGGCGGUGCACUCCGCCGGGCGCAGGCCAGCAUCAGCUCGCGGCAGGGAAGAAAGGCGGCGGGAACGUGGCUCUUCGGAGUGUUAUAGCCCGCCGCUACGCCCUCCUGCGGGCUGAGGUACGCGUCCGCAAGGAUGCUGGCGUAAUGGCCAUCAGCGACCCGUCUUGAAACACGGACCAAGGAGUCGUCCUAGCAUGCGAGUGUUCGGGUGCAAAACCCCUACGCGCAAUGAAAGUGAACGGAGGUGAGAGCUUCGGCGCAUCAUCGACCGAUCCUGAUGUUUUCGGAUGGAUUUGAGUAGGAGCAUUGCUGGGCCGGACCCGAAAGAAGGUGAACUAUGCUUGGAUAGGGCAAAGCCAGAGGAAACUCUGGUGGAGGCUCGCAGCGGUUCUGACGUGCAAAUCGAUCGUCAAAUCUGAGCAUGGGGGGCGAAAGACUAAUCGAACCUUCUAGUAGCUGGUUUCCGCCGAAGUUUCCCUCAGGAUAGCAGUGUUGAACUUCAGUUUUAUGAGGUAAAGCGAAUGAUUAGGGACCCGGGGGCGCUAUUUAGCCUUCAUCCAUUCUCAAACUUUAAAUAUGUAAGAAGCCCUCGUUGCUUC